rnacentral:lncRNA from 10 species
ACUGGGUACAGUGGCUUACGCCUGUAAUCCCAGCACUUUGGCAGGCCAAGGUGGGUGAUCACUUAAGGUCAGGAGUUCGAGACCAGCCUGGCCAACAUGGCAAAACCCCAUCUCUACUAAAAAUACAAAAUAAAUUAGUAGGGCAUGGUGGUGCAUGCCUGUAAUCCCAGCCACUCGGGAGGCUGAGGCACAGGAUUAGAGCUGCCAACAAGCCCAGCUAAUUUUUGUAUUUUUAGUAGAGGUGGGGUUUCCCCAUAUUGGCCAGGCUGGUCUCAAACUCCUGGCCUGAAGUGAUCCACCCACC